rnacentral:lncRNA from 1 species
UCUUGUGUCUUGUCUAUAGGAAGGGAGUGUAUCCUGGUGUAUGACAGCAUAUAGUAGAGACCAUUGUCAAUUAGGGCCUGUGAACUGAGACAGGGUGACUGGCUAAGUCCACAACCCAUUAGAAACCCAGAAAUAAUCAAAUCAUGGAGAGAUUAGACCAGGGACAAUAAAUAUGGAUUAGGCAAGAAUGUGUUAACUCAGCAGGCCAGGGUUUCUUCAACCCUGCACAUUCAAAGAGGGAUCAUGGAAAGGAAGCUGAAUUUGCCAAGUUUUGCCACGUGGGCAUUGCAUGCCUAUGUGAUUAACCACCAAUAAAAACCUGGGACAUCAAAGAAUAAAUAAGCUGCUCUAAUUGCCAAGAAUUCACAUGUGGUUGUAUGCAGCAUUACUGGGAGAUUGAAGUGUAUCUGCAUGUGAUUCUGCUGUGAUGGACACUUGUAAGUUUGUGCCUGGAGUCUCCUGGACUUUGCCCUGAGAAUCUUUUUCCUUUGUUGAUAUGACUCUGCAUCCUUUUGUUUUAAUAAACUGUAAACAUGAGUAUAA